rnacentral:rRNA from 1 species
CGACCGGCGCACGGGUGAGUAACACGUAUCCAACCUGCCGUCUACUCUUGGCCAGCCUUCUGAAAGGAAGAUUAAUCCAGGAUGGGAUCAUGAGUACACAUGUCCGCAUGAUUAAAGGUAUUUUCCGGUAGACGAUGGGGAUGCGUUCCAUUAGAUAAUAGGCGGGGUAACGGCCCACCUAGUCAACGAUGGAUAGGGGUUCUGAGAGGAAGGUCCCCCACAUUGGAACUGAGACACGGUCCAA